GCUACUACCGAUUGAAUGGUUUGGUGAGGACUACUGAUUGGCGCCGCCGCCCCGGCAACGGAGCAGCGGACUGCCGAAAAGUUGUUCAAACUUGAUCAUUUAGAGGAAGUAAAAGUCGUAACAAGGUUUCCGUAGGUGAACCUGCAGAAGGAUCAAGAACGGAAGAGCGUCGUGAAGGAGAAGAGUUCAGAGUGCGGUGGUCGUCGUUACAUUAAAAAAAAAAAAAGCAGAGGAUGAGGAUAAUGGUACAACGAAAGACGAGAGAAGUGACAAGAAC
rnacentral:misc_RNA from 1 species